rnacentral:rRNA from 1 species
GACAGAGGGUGCAAACGUUGUUCGGAAUUACUGGGCGUAAAGCGAGUGUAGGCGGUUUGAUAAGUCGGAUGUGAAAGCCCCGGGCUCAACCCGGGAAGUGCACUCGAUACUGUCAAGCUAGAGUACUGGAGAGGUUGGUGGAAUUCUCGGUGUAGAGGUAAAAUUCGUAGAUAUCGAGAGGAACACCGGUGGCGAAGGCGGCCAACUGGACAGAUACGUGACGCUGAGGAGCGAAAGCGUGGGUAGCAAACAGG